rnacentral:rRNA from 1 species
GACGAACGCUGGCGGCGUGCCUAAUACAUGCAAGUAGAACGCUGAAGGAGGAGCUUGCUUCUCUGGAUGAGUUGCGAACGGGUGAGUAACGCGUAGGUAACCUGCCUGGUAGCGGGGGAUAACUAUUGGAAACGAUAGCUAAUACCGCAUAAUAGCAGUUGUUGCAUGACAACUGUUUGAAAGGUGCAAUUGCACCACUACCAGAUGGACCUGCGUUGUAUUAGCUAGUUGGUGGGGUAACGGCUCACCAAGGCGACGAUACAUAGCCGACCUGAGAGGGUGAUCGGCCACACUGGGACUGAGACACGGCCCAGACUCCUACGGGAGGCAGCAGUAGGGAAUCUUCGGCAAUGGACGGAAGUCUGAACGAGCAACGCCGCGUGAGUGAAGAAGGUUUUCGGAUCGUAAAGCUCUGUUGUAAGAGAAGAACGAGUGUGAGAGUGGAAAGUUCACACUGUGACGGUAGCUUACCAGAAAGGGACGGCUAACUACGUG